UACGGGGGGGGCAAGCGUUGUCCGGAUUUACUGGGCGUAAAGAGCGCGCAGGCGGUCGUUCAAGUCGCGUGUGAAAGCCCCCGGCUCAACUGAGGAACUGCACGGGAUACUGCGAGACUUGAGUUCGGGAGAGGGAAGCGGAAUUCCGGGUGUAGCGGUGAAAUGCGUAGAUAUCCGGAGGAACACCGGUGGCGAAGGCGGCUUCCUGGACCGAUCACUGACGCUGAGGCGCGAAAGCUAGGGGAGCAAACGGG
rnacentral:rRNA from 1 species